rnacentral:rRNA from 11 species
CAGGUGGUGCAUGGUUGUCGUCAGCUCGUGUCGUGAGAUGUUGGGUUAAGUCCCGCAACGAGCGCAACCCCUAUCCCUAGUUGCCAUCAGGUUAUGCUGGGCACUCUAUGGAAACUGCCGGUGACAAGCCGGAGGAAGGUGGGGAUGACGUCAAGUCCUCAUGGCCCUUACGGGCUGGGCUACACACGUGCUACAAUGGCAGUGACAGAGGGACGCAAGUCGGCGACGGCGAGCUAAUCUCUAAAAACUGUCUCAGUUCGGAUUGUUCUCUGCAACUCGAGAGCAUGAAGUCGGAAUCGCUAGUAAUCGCGUAUCAGCAUGACGCGGUGAAUACGUUCCCGGGCCUUGUACACACCGCCCGUCGCACCAUGGGAGUUGGUUUUACCCGAAGGUGGUGCGCUAACCGUAAGGAGGCAGCCAACCACGGUAAGGUCAGCGACUGGGGUGAAGUCG